AAAUCCCAAGUAACCCGUUCUCUUGGCACCACUGAAACUAAAGUAUUCUACCAAUAGUAGGCAGAAUCACGUAACAGUGAUAUAGUACAUUUUAAGCACUCAUCGGGUGUGCACGAUAAUUCAUCAAACACACGAAUGGUAUUAUCGAGCCAAAACUCAGCCUACUCGGCAUCAUCAUUGUCAGUAGCUUUGAACUCAGUAGCCCCGUGCUUUCGAAUUCUAUCAACCGGGGGUUUGCUCAACCUCAACGGGUCAACAAUAGGAGUUACCACAGGUGUAGGGGUUGUAUUAGUCGGGGGUGGGGGUUGUGUAACAGCCGG
rnacentral:lncRNA from 1 species